ACCUCCUAGAUGCACUUGUGCCAAUUCCCACACAAGCUUUCUGGAUCUGGCAUCUUUUCAAGACUAUCAUCUGCAUUCCUCAGUGGCAGCCUAAUUCCUGCAGGUCAAGCUCCAUUCUCCCUUGACUGUAAUUUGAUGCUCUGCCUUGUCACCUGAUAUGACAAUGCUGGGCUUUGUUUCCAUUAUGGUUUCCAAAAGACUCCCCCACUUACAGACAGUUUUGUUUCCUAUUCUCCGAGGUUAAAACUCCAGUGUAAUGAAUUAUAAGCAGACCAAGGAUGACCCGAUUUCUCAAACGUAUGACCAGGGCACAAGAUUCAGACAGCUGUGAGAGUCCAUGGAUGCCCAGAUCGAAAGCCUACUGCUCCAGCGAAUUUCAGAUAAUGAGACAAUAUGGCACUGCUCACAAGAAGGGACAGCUUUUCCGAGGAAGAAAUCACAUAAUGUAACAUUUGGCAAGUCAGUUAGAUAAUGACCAAGAAAAAAAUAACGGUGUUGGAUGUCUGAUCAAAAUACAGAAAUAUUCUAAAAAGCUUGCCUAGAAGCUUGCACCAGUGGGAAUUUUGCUGCUGUUGCGUGGAGGCUUUGCAGCCAUGGAGACAUCUCAAGUGCCCUUUGGCUUUGGUUCUAUCCAGGACAGGGGAAGAAGCGUCUGAAAUAGCAGAAUAGGCAACACUCGGUCCUACAAGGGCCAGUGCAGUGCUGUGACAAGCUGAGUGUAUGGAGUGUACCUAAUGGAGUUACCGGGUGAAAUGCUGUAUCCAUGGUAUCUACGGAGGUGACUCAUGUCACCGCUACAAAUUCUAACUUGCUUGCAGAAAAUAUAUCCUAGUAAAAUCUGCAUUUGUACUGCACUUGCACAACAGCCUUGUGCUUAGAUUCCAGUUCUUCCAACUGCUAACAGUGCACACGGCUCAGAGGAGGACGAGGCCCAGGUGUAAAACAGCUGCGGCCCAACAAAAGCUGUGCUGGGUGUGUUCUGCCUCUCCUGUUCUCCACUGGAAGCACUUGGGGCUGAGCACCAGGCACCGUACCCCCGGCAGCACACAGCCCUCCCUGGGCUGGGCAUUAUCAGGCAUUGCUGUCUGUGCAUCAGAUCAGCGCGGGAGCCUCUCUGUGUACGUCUUCAAGAGCUUAAUGCAGUAACUGCAAUUCAAAGCAUUUGCUCCACAUAGAACUGAGUAACUGAAUCCUCUCUGACAUCGUUAAUGCUUUCAGCUGUUAGGAAUAUAGUGAUGCCACCUGGAAAGAAACGUAGCUGCAAAUGGGAUAGCCAUUAAAUAGCUGCAUGCCAGCUUAUGUGGAUCUUUCCUGGGAAGCAAGAAUGUUGCAGCAGAGAAGCUGGAAGUUCCUAGAAGAAACAACAGCCAUUGUAAGAUAAGUCAGCCCAGGAGGGAACCGUCAUAAGCCAUUUAAGGGGAAAUACAGGAGGACAUCUUUAUUUCCUUGCAUGCACACUCUCAGAUGGCUGGAGAUGUGAGUAAUUCAACCACUCUUCUAAAAGAAUGUAUGGGCAGCAGGACUUCUGCAGGGGGCUGUUGACUACAGCUGAAGGGGGAGGUAGGAGGACUCGUGGUGCCCAGCAUCUGCUCCUUGCACUCAGCACAAUUCCUGGUGUGCUGCUGCUCCAUCCUGCGUCACAGCAAGCGGCAGCCCUGGAUGCUGCUGAGGCAGAGCCAACAAAUGAUUAUGGGAAAAUACCUCCUCUUCUUUUGAUAAACACUGAAGCAUAUGACAAGCACAGAUUUUGGAUGCUCACUGAGUAUCAGUAAAGCUGAUUCUAUGCUUGGAAAUACAUUUUAAAAAUACAAGUUACUAAUACUCUUUUUUCCAAGCCCUUUUAAACUGUAAUCUUUAGCGAUCUAAUCAGAAUUGCUCUGUCAAAUGAAGUAUGGUGAUACAUGCACAGGA